rnacentral:rRNA from 1 species
GUGGAUUAGAUACCCUGGUAGUCCACGCCCUAAACGAUGAUCACUAGUUGUUCGGAAAGGUGACUUUCUGAGUAACGUAGCUAACGCGUGAAGUGAUCCGCCUGGGGAGUACGGUCGCAAGAUUAAAACUCAAAGGAAUUGACGGGGACCCGCACAAGCGGUGGAUGAUGUGGAUUAAUUCGAUGCAACGCGAAAAACCUUACCUACCCUUGACAUGCCUGGAAGAUCGCAGAGAUGUGAUUGUGCCUUCGGGAACCAGGACACAGGUGCUGCACGGCCGUCGUCAACU